rnacentral:rRNA from 1 species
GACGAACGCUGGCGGCGCGCUUAACACAUGCAAGUCGAACGGAAAGGCCUGCUUUCCCUUGUGGAUUGCGGGUACUCGAGUGGCGAACGGGUGAGUAACACGUGAGUGAUCUGCCCCCAACUUGGGUAUAAGCCUGGGAAACUGGGUCUAAUUCCCGAUAGGACUGCAGGGUGGUGCCUGUGGUGGAAAACGAUUUUCUAGUGGUUGGGGAUGAGCUCGCGGCCUAUCAGCUUGUUGGUGGGGUAAUGGCCUACCAAGGCGGCGACGGGUAGCCGGCCUGGGAGGGUGGACGGCCACAUUGGGACUGAGAUACGGCCCAGACUCCUACGGGAGGCAGCAGUGGGGAAUAUUGCACAAUGGGCGGAAGCCUGAUGCAGCGACGCCGCGUGGGGGAUGACGGCCUUCGGGUUGUAAACUCCUUUCGACCGCGAGGAAGCCACCUGGUUGGAAGGGUGGUGACGGUAGUGGUAGAAGAAGCACCGGCUAACAACGUG